rnacentral:rRNA from 1 species
AUUGAACGCUGGCGGCAUGCCUUACACAUGCAAGUCGAACGGUAACAGGUUAAGCUGACGCGUGGCGAACGGGUGAGUAAUACAUCGGAACGUGCCCAGUAGUGGGGGAUAGCCCGGCGAAAGCCGGAUUAAUACCGCAUACGACCUAAGGGUGAAAGGGGGGGAUCGCAAGACCUCUCGCUAUUGGAGCGGCCGAUGUCAGAUUAGCUAGUUGGUGGGGUAAAAGCUCACCAAGGCGACGAUCUGUAGCUGGUCUGAGAGGACGACCAGCCACACUGGGACUGAGCAACGGCCCCGCUCCCUAGGGGAGGCAGCAGGGGGGAAUUUUGGAAAAGGGGCGAAAGCCUGACCCAGCCAUGCCGGGGGGGGAAAGAAGGCCUUCGGGUUGUAAACCGCUUUUGUCAGGGAAGAAAUCCUUUGGGUUAAAACCUCGGGGGGAUGACGGUACCUGAAGAAAAAGCACCGGCUAACUACGG